UACGUAGGGUGCAAGCGUUGUCCGGAAUUAUUGGGCGUAAAGAGCUCGUAGGCGGUCUGUCGCGUCUGCUGUGAAAACCUAGGGCUUAACUCUGGGCGUGCAGUGGGUACGGGCAGGCUAGAGUGCGGUAGGGGAGACUGGAAUUCCUGGUGUAGCGGUGAAAUGCGCAGAUAUCAGGAGGAACACCGGUGGCGAAGGCGGGUCUCUGGGCCGUAACUGACGCUGAGGAGCGAAAGCAUGGGGGAGCGAACAGG
rnacentral:rRNA from 1 species